rnacentral:rRNA from 1 species
CAACUUUCCACAACGGAUCUCUUGGCUCUCGCAUCGAUGAAGAACGCAGCGAAAUGCGAUAAGUAAUGUGAAUUGCAGAAUUCAGUGAAUCAUCGAAUCUUUGAACGCACCUUGCGCUCCUUGGUAUUCCGAGGAGCAUGCCUGUUUGAGUGUCAUUA